GGUUAAGCGACUAAGCGUACACGGUGGAUGCCCUGGCAGUCAGAGGCGAUGAAGGACGUGCUAAUCUGCGAAAAGCGUCGGUAAGGUGAUAUGAACCGUUACAGCCGGCGAUGUCCGAAUGGGGAAACCCAGUGCAAUUCGUUGCACUAUCGUUAACUGAAUACAUAGGUUAACGAGGCGAACCGGGGGAACUGAAACAUCUAAGUACCCCGAGGAAAAGAAAUCAACCGAGAUUCCCCCAGUAGCGGCGAGCGAACGGGGAGCAGCCCGGAGUCUGAAUCAGCUUGUGUGUUAGUGGAAGCGUCUGGAAAGUCGCAGGGUACAGGGUGAUACUCCCGUACACUAAAACACACAGGCUGUGAACUCGAAGAGUAGGGCGGGACACGUGGUAUCCUGUCUGAAUAUGGGGGGACCAUCCUCCAAGGCUAAAUACUCCUGACUGACCGAUAGUGAACCAGUACCGUGAGGGAAAGGCGAAAAGAACCCCGGCGAGGGGAGUGAAAAAGAACCUGAAACCGUGUACGUACAAGCAGUAGGAGCCCACUAGUUGGGUGACUGCGUACCUUUUGUAUAAUGGGUCAGCGACUUAUAUUCUGUAGCAAGGUUAACCGUAUAGGGGAGCCGCAGGGAAACCGAGUCUUAACUGGGCGUUAAGUUGCAGGGUAUAGACCCGAAACCCAGUGAUCUAGCCAUGGGCAGGUUGAAGGUUGGGUAACACUAACUGGAGGACCGAACCGACUAAUGUUGAAAAAUUAGCGGAUGACUUGUGGCUGGGGGUGAAAGGCCAAUCAAACCGGGAGAUAGCUGGUUCUCCCCGAAAGCUAUUUAGGUAGCGCCUCGUGAAUUCAUCUUCGGGGGUAGAGCACUGUUUCGGCUAGGGGGUCAUCCCGACUUACCAACCCGAUGCAAACUACGAAUACCGAAGAAUGUUAUCACGGGAGACACACGGCGGGUGCUAACGUCCGUCGUGAAGAGGGAAACAACCCAGACCGCCAGCUAAGGUCCCAAAGUCAUGGUUAAGUGGGAAACGAUGUGGGAAGGCCCAGACAGCCAGGAUGUUGGCUUAGAAGCAGCCAUCAUUUAAAGAAAGCGUAAUAGCUCACUGGUCGAGUCGGCCUGCGCGGAAGAUGUAACGGGGCUAAACCAUGCACCGAAGCUGCGGCAGCGACACUAUGUGUUGUUGGGUAGGGGAGCGUUCUGUAAGCCGUUGAAGGUGGCCUGUGAGGGUUGCUGGAGGUAUCAGAAGUGCGAAUGCUGACAUAAGUAACGAUAAUGCGGGUGAAAAACCCGCACGCCGGAAGACCAAGGGUUCCUGUCCAACGUUAAUCGGGGCAGGGUGAGUCGACCCCUAAGGCGAGGCCGAAAGGCGUAGUCGAUGGGAAACAGGUUAAUAUUCCUGUACUUGGUGUUACUGCGAAGGGGGGACGGAGAAGGCUAUGUUGGCCGGGCGACGGUUGUCCCGGUUUAAGCAUGUAGGCGGAUGUUCCAGGUAAAUCCGGAACGUCACUAACGCUGAGGUGUGAUGACGAGGCACUACGGUGCUGAAGUGACAAAUGCCCUGCUUCCAGGAAAAGCCUCUAAGCAUCAGGUAACAUCAAAUCGUACCCCAAACCGACACAGGUGGUCAGGUAGAGAAUACCAAGGCGCUUGAGAGAACUCGGGUGAAGGAACUAGGCAAAAUGGUGCCGUAACUUCGGGAGAAGGCACGCUGAUGGUAGGUGAAGUGACUUGCUCACGGAGCUGAAAUCAGUCGAAGAUACCAGCUGGCUGCAACUGUUUAUUAAAAACACAGCACUGUGCAAACACGAAAGUGGACGUAUACGGUGUGACGCCUGCCCGGUGCCGGAAGGUUAAUUGAUGGGGUUAUCCGUAAGGAGAAGCUCUUGAUCGAAGCCCCGGUAAACGGCGGCCGUAACUAUAACGGUCCUAAGGUAGCGAAAUUCCUUGUCGGGUAAGUUCCGACCUGCACGAAUGGCGUAAUGAUGGCCAGGCUGUCUCCACCCGAGACUCAGUGAAAUUGAACUCGCUGUGAAGAUGCAGUGUACCCGCGGCAAGACGGAAAGACCCCGUGAACCUUUACUAUAGCUUGACACUGAACACUGGUCCUUGAUGUGUAGGAUAGGUGGGAGGCUUUGAAGUGUGGACGCCAGUCUGCAUGGAGCCAUCCUUGAAAUACCACCCUUUAAUGGCUGGUGUUCUAACGUGGGCCCGUGAUCCGGGUUGCGGACAGUGUCUGGUGGGUAGUUUGACUGGGGCGGUCUCCUCCUAAAGAGUAACGGAGGAGCACGAAGGUCAGCUAAUCCUGGUCGGACAUCAGGAGGUUAGUGCAAUGGCAUAAGCUGGCUUGACUGCGAGCGUGACGGCGCGAGCAGGUGCGAAAGCAGGUCAUAGUGAUCCGGUGGUUCUGAAUGGAAGGGCCAUCGCUCAACGGAUAAAAGGUACUCCGGGGAUAACAGGCUGAUACCGCCCAAGAGUUCAUAUCGACGGCGGUGUUUGGCACCUCGAUGUCGGCUCAUCACAUCCUGGGGCUGAAGUAGGUCCCAAGGGUAUGGCUGUUCGCCAUUUAAAGUGGUACGCGAGCUGGGUUUAGAACGUCGUGAGACAGUUCGGUCCCUAUCUGCCGUGGGCGCUGGAGAAUUGAGGGGGGCUGCUCCUAGUACGAGAGGACCGGAGUGGACGCAUCACUGGUGUUCGGGUUGUCAUGCCAAUGGCAUUGCCCGGUAGCUAAAUGCGGAAGAGAUAAGUGCUGAAAGCAUCUAAGCACGAAACUUGCCCCGAGAUGAGUUCUCCCUGACCCUUUAAGGGUCCUGAAGGAACGUUGAAGACGACGACGUUGAUAGGCCGGGUGUGUAAGCGCAGCGAUGCGUUGAGCUAACCGGUACUAAUGAACCGUGAGGCUUAACCUU
rnacentral:rRNA from 1 species